GAGGCAGAUCCUGCAGCUCCAAAACACCCUCCAAGCUUCACGUUGCCACUUGGUUCUGGGAGAUCAGGCCACGGCAAUCUGUGGCUUCCCUUGCUCCUGAACUUAAGCCUCUGAUUCCCUCUCCUGUUGGAGCCUUUAACACGAGUCUGACUGUGUCACCCAGGCUGGAGUGCAGUGGCGUGAUCUCGGCUUACUACAACCUCUGCCUCCUGGGUUCAAGUGAUUCUCCUGCCUCAGCCUCCAGAGUAGCUGGGAUUACAGGUCAUCUUUUCCACUGAUCCUCUGCCUUGAGCUGCGUUAUCUCACAC
rnacentral:lncRNA from 1 species